ACCUACCCCAGUAGUGCCCAACACGACGCACCCCACGCUCACACACAACCCACCUCCUCUCCCACCUUCUUCCUCCUACGGUUGCCAGAGCCCCGCAUCGCCCUGCCUUCCUCUGCGCGCCGCCGCGCCGACCACCCAACGCAGCCUCGAUCCGCCGAGCCACCUCCGCCUUGCCCUGAAGCCGCCGCUGCUGCCGCCAGGGCCCCGCCCCACCCCAGAGGCCCUUGAAUCUCCGUGCCAACCGCCGCCCUCCCCGGCAUCCCUCGCCGGAGGAUCGGCCACCCCCAACCUCCCUUGCCGCCAGAUCGGGCCGCCCCGGCCUCCCUUGCGCCGGAUACGGUCGUCCCCGGCCUCCCUCUCCGCCGGAUCGGGCUGCCCCGACCUCUGUUUGCCGUCCCCGCGGCCUACUGAUGUCACCGUGGCCCUCUCCUCCCCAGAUCCAGUGAGCCUCCCAUGGCCCUCUCCUCCCCAUACCCCGCCGCAACUGGCCAGCGGCCUUCCUCCCAUGUCUCGCCGGUGCUACAUCAUACGGCGCGGAUCCGGUUGCACCGCCCCAGGCGCCCUGGCGCAUCCCAUGGCCAUGGCGGGAUCCCCACUGCCGGCGUGCCCCUUCCCACCAGCCGCCCUGAUGGCCGCCUCCCCCGUCCUCUUCUGCUCCAUUGCCAAACACCACCGCAGGUACGAAUGAGGUCAAUCUGCGGCGAGGUUCAGGCAAGUUUUCCCUGUAAUUCCAGCGAGCAGUUCGGCUAGCGCGGCCAUGCGGUUUGGCCAGGCCAUGGCUUCAGUUCAUCGGUGCGCUGCCGCGGGUGGGGUCAUCCUCUCCUACUCCGGCCGAGAUCCAUGGCCACUGAGCCCCCUUCCUUCGCUCCCACGUAUGUGCAACAGUUGAGCACCCACCAACCCCGAUAUGUGUGUCCUCCAUUGCUCUGUCCUCGCCGACAUGCUCGCACGAACAGGGAGUUAGCUUAGUUGUUUAUUGCCGUCCUCUUCUGUUAUUGCCACUGAACCUCCACGAGUAGGAGUUCAGUUAACUCCGUAGUUCUAUUUUUGUUUAACUUGUGCCAUGCAGUUCGCUAUGUAAAAUUGCAGUGAAUUUUUUGUACUUUUAUUUCUGCUCAUGUUACAGAGAUGUUCUAAUUUGUUGCAGAUUUUGGUUGCAAGUGUAAAGAGAAAAAAGUGAUUCAGUGUGGUACAUGAUGAUAUGUAGUUUUAGCACCGCAGUCAGGCAGGCCAUGGAGUGUGCGUCACCGUCCGUGGGCGUGUGCAGUGCGGCGCGUGGGUGCUUGCAGUACGCAACCCGCCUAUUCAACUGAUUUUUUUGAUCUAGCUAGUGUUGAUUUUGUGUGUAUGUAUGUGUGUGGCUGUGUAAAACAAAUGGGUGAAUGUAUUAUCUCCAUGAGCAUCAUCAGCGGCCAUAGACAGUGGCGCAAAACAUAAAGUGUGCAUGUAGUUUGGUUAGCUUGUUCUUGCAGUACUUUGUUUUUGUUUUGUGAGGUUCACUUGUUCUUUAAAUUAUUCAGCGAAUGUUGGUGUGAGGUAAAAUUAUUAUGGUGGAAAAAAAAGUAAUUUUAAAUGCAGUC
rnacentral:rRNA from 1 species